rnacentral:rRNA from 1 species
AUUGAACGCUGGCGGCAUGCCUUACACAUGCAAGUCGAACGGCAGCUCGGGUGCUUGCCCCUGGUGGCGAGUGGCGAACGGGUGAGUAAUACAUCGGAACAUGUCCUGUAGUGGGGGAUAGCCCGGCGAAAGCCGGAUUAAUACCGCAUACGAUCCACGGAUGAAAGCGGGGGACCUUCGGGCCUCGCGCUAUAGGGUUGGCCGAUGGCUGAUUAGCUAGUUGGUGGGGUAAAGGCCUACCAAGGCGACGAUCAGUAGCUGGUCUGAGAGGACGACCAGCCACACUGGGACUGAGACACGGCCCAGACUCCUACGGGAGGCAGCAGUGGGGAAUUUUGGACAAUGGGCGAAAGCCUGAUCCAGCAAUGCCGCGUGUGAAGAAGGCCUUCGGGUUGUAAAGCACUUUUGUCCGGAAAGAAAUCCUUGGCUCUAAUACAGUCGGGGGAUGACGGUACCGGAAGAAUAAGCACCGGCUAACUACGUG